rnacentral:rRNA from 1 species
AUUGAACGCUGGCGGCAUGCCUUACACAUGCAAGUCGAACGGUAACAGGUCUUCGGAUGCUGACGAGUGGCGAACGGGUGAGUAAUACAUCGGAACGUGCCCGAUCGUGGGGGAUAACGAAGCGAAAGCUUUGCUAAUACCGCAUAAGAUCUACGGAUGAAAGCAGGGGACCGCAAGGCCUUGCGCGAACGGAGCGGCCGAUGGCAGAUUAGGUAGUUGGUGGGAUAAAAGCUUACCAAGCCGACGAUCUGUAGCUGGUCUGAGAGGACGACCAGCCACACUGGGACUGAGACACGGCCCAGACUCCUACGGGAGGCAGCAGUGGGGAAUUUUGGACAAUGGGCGAAAGCCUGAUCCAGCCAUGCCGCGUGCAGGAUGAAGGCCUUCGGGUUGUAAACUGCUUUUGUACGGAACGAAAAGACUCUGGUUAAUACCUGGGGUACAUGACGGUACCGUAAGAAUAAGCACCGGCUAACUACGUG